rnacentral:rRNA from 1 species
UACGUAGGUCCGAGCGUUGUCCGGAAUUACUGGGCGUAAAGAGCUCGUAGGUGGUUUGUCGCGUUGUUCGUGAAAACUCACAGCUCAACUGUGGCGUGCGGCGAUACGGGCAGACUGAGUACUGCAGGGAGACUGGAAUUCCUGGUGUAGCGGUGGAAUGCGCAGAUAUCAGGAGGAACACCGGUGGCGAAGGCGGUCUCUGG